rnacentral:lncRNA from 1 species
UGGGGCUAGAACUCAGGGCCCAGCAGGUCUGACAAUGCAGGUUUCCCCGCUCGCCUGUUGGGUUUUUGAAACGCCCUCAGCGGGGUUUUCCUCCUAAUUCUGGUUUGGAGGAGCCAUCUCUCUCCAUCCCGUCUGCCAGCGGGGUUUGCUUCACACACAGACGUGGGCAGAUGGCAUCGGGGACACAGGGAAACCUGACCUUAGAGGAAAUGGAAAAGUUGGAGAGACACUGAGCACUGAUACGAAAUAAUUCUCUUGCUGAAAUACACGAAAGGAGUCCCAGCAGCCAUAUUAGUAUUUCCACGUCCUGUGUCAGCCCCAAGUAGAGAGAACUUGGAAUGGGAGGGGAAAUGGCAGCCAUCAGGAAAUGAAAUGCUGGCCCAGAGAAUUCUAAGCAAGUCAAUCACCAGUCCAAAGGAAAGGCCAUGUGAGGACAUAAGGAGGAGACAGCCAUCUAUAAGCCAAGAAGAAAGCCCUCACUAGAAACCAACUCUAAUGGCACCCUGAUCUUGGAUUUCUAGCCCCU